GGCAGUACUCAGGUGAUGCACCCUGGAAUCGGGCUCCCUCCUCUCUGGUUCCAGGUAUAUCACCCGAGAACUGCA
rfam:Myotis lucifugus cont2.32081, whole genome shotgun sequence.